GUGGGGUUCCCCCUGUGCUGUGAUGGGUGUUUUAUAUGAUGAGUCUUAUCUUUUCUCUCCACUGGCUAUCUGGCUAACAGGCUACACUCUAGACAGUCUCUUCUGCUGAUGUGUGUGUGUCUGGUAGUGGGUCUCUCUCUAUCCUACUCUUUUCCUUUCUGCAGGGUUAAUACCUGUCUGACGUCCCAACAAAUCUCUACCUUUACCCCUCUCUAACAAUACUGCUACAAGGUUUACCAACACUUGAAGUUUAAUAUGUCAAAUGUUUCUACAAGAUAAUAGCCACUAGCAUCACAUGAUCACUAACCACCACAUGUUCAGACUCACCUCAGCUGUGAGAUGUAGGGCAGACACUGAAGGAAACUCCUCACUUCACUCUCUUCAUCUGACCAGUCCUUCAGCUCUACUGGUUUUUUGUCUGGUUGGAGUUUCAGCACUUCUAGGAGGAGGGAGGCCUUUCUCUCUGAGAGGUCUAUGGACCAGACUGCAGGAGCUGACUGGUAAACUGGCUGUAAUGCUGGAAGGAAACUCCUGCCUGUUUGAGUCUCAUAGUCCUUCACAUGUGAGUACAGAUCCAGCAGGAAAUCACAUUUCUGAUUGUGAUAUACUUCAGACAGUGACACCACUUUCUCUACAGUUGUUUGUAUGGUUCCUCUCUCAUGGAGGACUGCUUGAAGACACAGAUUCAGUAGGAAUGUCUUCUCUCUCCUUAUCCUCUCUUCAGGGGAUCUUCUCUGAUCCUGUGAAGGAGUAAAACU
ensembl:lncRNA